rnacentral:rRNA from 1 species
UACGUAUGGGGCAAGCGUUAUCCGGAUUACUGGGUGUAAAGGGUGCGUAGGCGGCUUACCAAGUCAGGUGUGAAAUACCGGGGCUUAACCCCGGAGCUGCAUUUGAAACUGGCAGGCUUGAGUUCAGGAGGGGCAGGCGGAAUUCCUGGUGUAGCGGCGAAAUGCGUAGAUAUCAGGAGGAACACCGGUGGCGAAGGCGGCCUGCUGGACUGACACUGACGCUGAGGCACGAAAGCGUGGGGAGCAAACA